rnacentral:rRNA from 1 species
UACGGAGGGUGCAAGCGUUAAUCGGAAUUACUGGGCGUAAAGCGCACGUAGGUGGUUUUUCUAAGUCAGCUGUGAAAUCCCCGGGCUCAACCUGGGACUUGCAGUUGAAACUGGAAAGCUAGAGUAGGGUAGAGGGGGUGUGGAAUUCCAGGUGUAGCGGUGAAAUGCGUAGAUAUAGGAAGGAACACCAGUGGCGAAGGCGACCACCUGGACUGAUACUGACACUGAGGUGCGAAAGCGUGGGGAGCAAACAGG